rnacentral:snoRNA from 1 species
GUUAUCAACGUGAGCCCUAACAGACCUGAAAUGAUUCUUGCGGAUAUGUUUGCUUGAUUCAGAGAACAUCUAAGGGACUCCAUUUGCCAUAGGC